rnacentral:rRNA from 1 species
UACGGAGGGUGCAAGCGUUAUCCGGAUUCACUGGGUUUAAAGGGUGCGUAGGCGGGCAGGUAAGUCAGUGGUGAAAUCUUCGAGCUUAACUCGGAAACUGCCGUUGAUACUAUCUGUCUUGAAUAUCGUGGAGGUGAGCGGAAUAUGUCAUGUAGCGGUGAAAUGCUUAGAUAUGACAUAGGACACCGAUUGCGAAGGCAGCUCACUACACGAACAUUGACGCUGAGGCACGAAAGCGUGGGGAUCAAACAGG